GUAGUGGCGACGGGUGAGUAAUGCGUAGGAAUCUACCUAGUAGUACGGAAUAGCCAUUAGAAAUGGUGGGUAAUACUGUAUAAUCCCCGAGGGGGAAAGAUUUAUCGCUAUUAGAUGAGCCUACGUUAGAUUAGCUAGUUGGUGAGGUAAUGGCUUACCAAGGCUAUGAUCUAUAGCUGGUCUGAGAGGACGAUCAGCCACACUGGAACUGAGAUACGGUCCAGACUCCUACGGGAGGCAGCAGUGGGGAAUAUUGGACAAUGGGCGAAAGCCUGAUCCAGCUAUGCCGCGUGAGUGAAGAAGGCCUUCGGGUUGUAAAACUCUUUCAAUAGGGAAGAUAAUGCGGGUUACCUAUAA
rnacentral:rRNA from 1 species